UGCACUCCCACCAUAGUUUAUAAAAAACACUAAUUUGCAAAAUUGGUAAAGGAAAGUUCCUGGUGCGU
rnacentral:tRNA from 1 species